GGACAUGUUAAAAUACAUUUCAGCAUCUGUCUGCUACAGAGAAAAUAGAAAUGCAACAUAUAUUAUCACCUUUCAUCCAAGUGACACCGUGUUUGCACACAUCAUAUUCAAUAUUUACAUUGUUUUUUUAGAAGGAUCUAACUGAAGGUAUUUCCAUGAGCAAUCAUACAGGUAUGGUUCGAAUGGCUAAUGUUAAUCUCUU